UUUAUUCCCUUUUUUGUUAAAACUAUAUCUAUUCCUAAACUCCAGUGGAUCCGAAGCCACCUUCAGCUCUGAGUGUAGAAUCCAAAUCCUGAACCUCAACAACCUCCGGCAUCACGAUCUGCUGGAUUAUCAUCUGUGCAACCCUGUCACCAACUUUUACUUCAAAAUCAGUGUCUUAAUGGUUGAACAGUAUCACCCCUACGGGACCCCUGCAAUCCGCGUCGAUCACGCCCGCUCCCACAUCGAUCGAGUGCUUCCAUGAUAAUCCAGAUCGCGGUGCUGAAAAACAAAACAAAACGGGGAGAUUUAAAGUUAGCCCUCGGCUGGGAAAGAAAGAAGGGAGGGGAAGAGAUUGCAAAUUCGAAUUCCCCCAAGUCAUUCUAACAAACUAACAUUUGCACAAAACACACCAAAAGGAGUGAAGAUCUAAACAAGCAAUCUGUGUGUGUUCCGCCAUGAACGAAGAACAACAGUGUUUGCUUCUCAGCUCAGCUUCUCACUUUUGGCCCCCCAAAGGAGUGAAGCUAUCGUACGGCACUGCGGGCUUCAGAGCCGAUGCAUCACUUCUCCAAUCGACGGUGUACAGAGUGGGAAUCCUUGCAGCCCUUAGAUCGCUCAAGACUCGCUCCGUCAUUGGUCUCAUGAUCACCGCCUCACACAACAAAGUCUCCGAUAAUGGAGUCAAAAUCGCUGACGCAAGCGGCGGCAUGCUCUCUCAGCAUUGGGAACCCUUCGCCGACGCCCUCGCCAACGCCCCUUCUCCCCAACACCUCCUCCUGUUGAUAAAUGAAUUCGUGGAGAAAGAAGGAAUCUCGGUGGAUGGGGACUGGCAAGUCGAAGUGCUUUUGGGGAGAGACACGAGACCAAGUGGAGAUGCUUUGCUUCAAGCAGCUAAACAGGGCGUCACUUCAAUUGUUGGAGCUGUUGCGACGGAUAUGGGAAUCUUGACAACUCCACAAUUGCAUUGGAUGGUUCGUGCUAGAAAUAAGGGUAUGAAAGCUUCAGAGCAGGAUUACUUUGAACAGCUUUCAAGCUCAUUCAGGUGCUUAGUGGAUUUGAUCCCAGCUGAAAAAUGUAAGUUUGAUGGGGUGAACGACAAAGUGGUCGUGGAUGGAGCUAAUGGGGUUGGUGGAGUGAAACUUAAAGAUUUAGGGAAAUUGUUGAAUGGUUUGAUUAUUGAGGUUCGGAACAGCAGUGAAGAUGGAGGUGUACUGAAUGAUGGAGUUGGUGCUGAUUAUGUGCAAAAAGAGAAGGUUCUUCCAAACAACUUUGGUUCUAAAGACACUGGGAUAAGGUGUGUUAGUUUGGAUGGAGAUGCUGAUCGGCUGGUUUAUUUUAUUGUGCCACCUAAAAGCAGUGGUAGGAUUGACCUUGUUGAUGGGGACAAGAUACUAUCCCUGUUUGCCUUAUUUAUUAGGGAGCAACUAAGCUUUCUUAAUGAGAAAGAAGACAUGAAAAAUUGCCACCAAGCCCAUGUUGGUGUCAUACAGACUGCUUAUGCAAAUGGGGCAUCUACUAAUUACCUUAAACUGUUGGGACUUGAAGUCAAUUUUACUCCAACUGGAGUGAAAUAUCUGCAUGAAAAAGCCACCGAAUUUGAUAUUGGUAUCUACUUUGAGGCAAAUGGCCAUGGAACUGUCUUAUUUUCAGAAUCUUUCAUAGAGUCGUUGGAGGCUAGAACUAAUGAGAUUUCUUUAGGAUCCAAAGUUUUAGGUUCAGAAGGGGAAAAAGCUGCUCUGAGAUUAUUGGCUCUUAGUAAGUUGAUCAAUCAAGCUGUUGGAGAUGCUUUGAGUGGAUUGCUCUUGGUGGAAGUCAUAUUACAGCAUAUGGGAUGGUCAAUAAAUAAAUGGAAUGAACUUUAUCAUGAUUUACCCAGCAAGCAGCUCAAGGUCAAAGUUGCUGACAGAACGGCUGUUGUUACAACAAAUGCAGAAACUGUGGUUGUGAGCCCUCCGGGUCUACAAGAAGCCAUAAAUGAAGAAACUGCUAAGGACCCCCAAGGUCGAUGCUUUGUGCGACCAUCUGGCACUGAAGAUGUUGUUCGUGUGUAUGCUGAGGCAUCCACACAGGAAGCAGCUGAUACACUUGCCAACUGUGUGGCUAAGCUUGUGGAUCAAUUCUUAGGGUUCAAUAGCUCGUGACAUCACAACAGCUCCUCCUUCUGUGUCUUUUUAAUUUCCAUUUGACAUUACAACAGAAUGUACUUGGCUUUGAAACUUAGCUAGCCAUCGUGAUUUUCCAAUAAAUUUUCUCCUGCAUUUUACUAAGCUUAUCCGAGAGUAUUUGAAAAUCUUCUUGAACACUCUUACCCAAUUGCCAGAAAAAUUACAUAAAUAGCAGAAAUAAAAAAGGCUUAAUUUUCUUAAAAUUUUGCUCCAAAAUUCCCUUCCACUGUACCCGAAUGCUAAUCUGAACCUGUAGGGUGCCAAGUUGGAAACUUUUUCCCUGAAAAAUGAUGGGGUUAUCAGAAUUAGAGGAGCUACUGCUUCUUCAGUGGCACCCAGAAUCUGAAAAACAGCAACAUGUUCUGUAUCGAAAGAUGGUAAUGCCUCUGUUGAGACUGAUGUGCCUUUCCCUGCUGAUUACUCUGAGCUUCUGGAACAAUUAAGUGUUUCAUUGUCCUCCCUUUGCACCAAUCUUUUGUUCAUUGCAACAUUCAACUUUGAUAUUGAUGGACCGAUGUAGUGGUGGUUUUGUUAAUUUGUUAUAUGUCAAUCCUGUGUUGAUCGACAGAGCAGGUAAAUUUUACUCAAUAAAAAAGGUUUCGAACCUACAAAUAUGCAAUUUUUGUAGUCAUAAUCCAGGAAAUAUUCAAAUAUUUCAUCAGUCUCCUUUAGAUAAACAUUUAUUUGGUUCCAUCUAAUGUUGCUAUGUAAGCAAUUUGUAACGUGGCAUUCCUAUGUGGCAACACUUCGAAGGAGUCGCAUAAGCAUUUUUUUGUAACAGAAGAAUAAAAACAGAAAGUUUCAACAUUAUUGGGAUUAUAAACAAAAGAAAGAAAAUUACAAAGAUUAAAAGUGAAAACAAGUAGUAUAUUUACAAGAAUGGAAAAGGUAUUUAAACCACCCUAAACAAUAUAAGAAAAAAUGGUUGGACUUAUAGUUGUGUAUCAUGUACACUCAGACACAUGCUAAUUGAACACCAAGAUUGGUGUCUUUGUUAUUGAAUCAACCAACAGGCCAGAGUAGCUGCAGAUUUGGCUAUAAAGGAUAACAGACAGCUAAUGGUGAGUAACAUAUGAUAGUAGUUUUAUUAGGAAUUAGGAAUCCAGAACUAAAGUUGCACACACUAAAGUGAGGAGCUAAUCUAUUAUAGAGCCUGUAAUGAAACCAUCUUAACCUGGACCAUUUGGCAGCACAGAAACAGAAUCAUCUUUUCAAAUGAUUCUUUCAAUGGAAGCAAGCUGUUGGAAGAUGCAGUGUUCCUAGUAUGGUCAUGGCUUAGAGCAAGGGAGACAGAUUUUGUAAUGCACUACAACCAAUGGUCUAGUAAUCUAAAUGUAGGUUUUGGAAAAUAGGACAGCUCAUUAGUUGAUGGAUUGUAUAUUGGUACAUAUGGUAACUAGCUUGGAUCCUAUAAGGUCGAAAUCCCUACUGGAUCCAGUAGGUUGCCUAUAAACCUAUUCUGUAACAUUAGUACCUCUGGUACUCCCAUUUAUAUAUAUAUAAUACUUUUGCUGAUAAAAAAAACAGGAGAUUGAGUUUCCCACAGCUGGACUCGGGUCUGUGCCAGGUUCUACAUGUUUCAGUUUCAUUUUUUUGGUUUGAGCCCUGUUUUAUCAUUGUUUCAAUCUAAAUGGAAAUUGAUUCAUCUCACUCAUUACAUCACAGGUGAUGGGGAAGGUGGAAUUGAAAUGACUGAGAGCAUGCAAUUGAUUCGUGAAUUUUGUGACCGCUUCAUUAGUUCAGAGAAAGCCACACGAACAAGAAUAGUAAUCUUCUUGAUUUAAAGAAUUGUUCUUCUUUGUGCCCCUGGAAUGUGUUUCUGGAUGAAAAGCUUUCUCUACAUGUAAAAAAGGGUUUUGUGCUCCUUGCAUUUUUCAAAUAACUAGGAACUUUUUGUUGUUUUAGUUUUCUUUUUCUUAGCAUACAAUCUAACUAUGUUUAAUGUUAGUUACAAGUCUCUUGCUUUAUAAUUCCAACUCAGCAUAUAUACAUCAAUUAUGAUCGAUACACCUAGAUGCCAAAAUUUAAUUCCAUAGUUUGAUUGUUCCAAAUAGCUCUAACUUUCUUGUUUAUGUAUGCGGUCUCCCCCUUCUUCAUUAGUUGAUGGAUUGUAUAUUGGUACAUAUGGUAACUAGCUUGGAUCCUAUAAGGUCGAAAUCCCUACUGGAUCCAGUAGGUUGCCUAUAAACCUAUUCUGUAACAUUAGUACCUCUGGUACUCCCAUUUAUAUAUAUAUAAUACUUUUGCUGAUAAAAAAAACAGGAGAUUGAGUUUCCCACAGCUGGACUCGGGUCUGUGCCAGGUGAUGGGGAAGGUGGAAUUGAAAUGACUGAGAGCAUGCAAUUGAUUCGUGAAUUUUGUGACCGCUUCAUUAGUUCAGAGAAAGCCACACGAACAAGAAUAGUA